rnacentral:rRNA from 1 species
AGCUCGAGUAGCGUAUAUUAAAGUUGUUGCAGUUAAAAAGCUCGUAGUCGAAUUUCGGGCUCGGUUGCGUGGUCGGUCUUUAUGGCUUGUACUGCGUGCAUCGAGCCUUACCUUCUGGGGAUCUAGUGUGCUCUUCAUUGAGUGUGCUAGCCAUCCAGGACUUUUACUUUGAGAAAAUUAGAGUGUUCAUAGCAGGCAAUCGCUUGAAUACAUUAGCAUGGAAUAAUAGAAUAGGACUUUGGUUUUAUUUUGUUGGUUUGGAAACCAAAGUAAUGGUUAAUAGGGGCAGUGCGGGGGCAUCAGUACUCGGGAGCUAGAGGUGAAAUUCUUGGAUUUCCCGAUGACUAACUACUGCGAAAGCAUUUGCCAAGGAUGUUUUCAUUG